UACGUAGGUGGCAAGCGUUGUCCGGAUUUAUUGGGUUUAAAGGGUGCGUAGGCGGGUAUUUAAGUCAGAGGUGAAAGACGGCCGCUCAACGGUCGCAGUGCCUUUGAUACUGGAUAUCUUGAGUGCAGACGAGGUCUGUGGAAUGGAUGGUGUAGCGGUGAAAUGCUUAGAUACCAUCCAGAACACCAAUUGCGAAGGCAGCAGACUAGGGUGCCACUGACGCUGAGGCACGAAGUGCGGGGAGUCAAAACAGG
rnacentral:rRNA from 1 species